UCCUACCACGCUGAAUAUAUCGGUUCUCGUCAGAUCACCAAAGUUAAACAGCGUUGGGGGCGAUUAGGACUUAGAUGGGUGACCUCCUGGGGAACACCGCGUGAUGUU